CCUACGGGAGGCAGCAGUGGGGAAUAUUGGACAAUGGGGGGAACCCUGAUCCAGCCAUGCCGCGUGUGUGAAGAAGGCCCUCGGGGUGUAAAGCACUUUCAGUGAGGAAGAACGCCUGGUGGUUAAUACCCAUCAGGAAAGACAUCACUCACAGAAGAAGCACCGUCUAACUCCGUGCCAGCAGCCGCGGUAAUACGGAGGGUGCGAGCGUUAAUCGGAAUUACUGGGCGUAAAGCGCGCGUAGGUGGCUUGAUAAGCCGGUUGUGAAAGCCCCGGGCUCAACCUGGGAACGGCAUCCGGAACUGUCAAGCUAGAGUGCAGGAGAGGAAGGUAGAAUUCCCGGUGUAGCGGUGAAAUGCGUAGAGAUCGGGAGGAAUACCAGUGGCGAAGGCGGCCUUCUGGACUGACACUGACACUGAGGUGCGAAAGCGUGGGUAGCAAACAGGAUUAGAUACCCCAGUAGUC
rnacentral:rRNA from 1 species